rnacentral:tRNA from 1 species
GGGUCCGUAGCUGAGACAGCCCAAGCGCCUGGUUGAAGCCCAGGAGACGGUGGUGCGAGCCCACCCGGUCCCA